rnacentral:lncRNA from 1 species
CUCAGCAGAUUAAGAACCCGACAUAGCAUCCGUGAGGAUGCAGGUUCGAUCCCUCCUCGCCUGGCUCAGUGGGUUGAGCAUCCAGCAUUUCUGUGGCUCUGGUGUAGGCCUGUACCUGCAGCUCCAGCUCUAAUUCAACCCCUAGCCUGGGAACUUCCAUAUGCUGAGAUGUGGUCCUAAAAAAAAAAAGAAAAGAAAAAAGAAAAAGCAGAUUCCUCAAGCAACUUUCCCAUUUCCUUUGCACUAGGAAGAAAAUGGAUGUGUCUUAAGUAGACGGAGCCAGGGCUCAGGAUUUUGUUGGAUGCCAGCCUUUGCCCAUCAGGGCUCCCUUCUGUUUGAGCUGAUGCAAAUUCCAGCCUUUAAAUAGAAAUUCUAAAUUAUUGACUAUCACGGUGAUGGAUUCUCAGACUGUCUGCUGACCACCAAAUUGCUCCGAUUGUCUUCCGAGCGAAGAUUCCAUAAGUCGUUAGCAUGAGCCCACCAAUAUCCGUCAUGUUAACGAUGCGGCUGCAAUCACGCCUUGACACUCAUUACCUUUCCCGACUAAUUCUCAAUGUGAAAUUCCGCUAGUGAUGGAGAUCCACCGCAAAAGGCCCCGUUUUCUCCGAGCAUCCUGUAAUCCUACGGCACCUCCAUGCCCACAUGGCCAUCGUUAACAUUGCACCCCACCCGGCCCCCUCUCCUGUGUUGGCAGCCUGUACAAAGAGAACUCUUUAUCCCAGGAUCCUUGGCAUAAACAUAAUUUUAUCUAGAGAGGUCCCUGAGAGUGAGUUUCCAGAGAAACAGAGUCUGCAUGGAGCGAUUUCUAACUGCAGAGGCAAUCGCAAGGAUGUUUAACCCACAGUUCUUCUGGUCGGGGGAGAGGAGAGCAGGGGGCUUGCGGGAUGAAAGCGCUGUGUUUGGCUCUUUCACACCUGUUACUGGGUAUUAUCCUCCUGUGGGACAGCUGCUGAAAGCCCAUGUCACAGAUGAAGGAUCUGGAGCCGGGAGAUUUUAAGGAGCAGCUGGCAAGCAGAGAACAGCAGAGACUGCGAUCACGGUGGGCAAUGGGCACAUGGGCUCUCAAUGACCCCCGCCUCCUAGUAUAAUGCCCUUGUGUGUGGGUGGGACCCAGUGCCACUUUGCUCUGAGCAGAAUGUGGAAAUUGUAUGGUAGUUCCAUGUUCGGUUUUCUGAGGAACUUCCAUACUGUUUUCCAUAGUGGUUGUACCAGUUUACAUUCCCACUACAGUGUGAAGUUUCUCCACACCCUCUAUAGCAUUUGCUAUUUGGAGACUUAUUAAUGAUGGCCAUUCCGACCGGUGUGAGGUGGUACCUCAUUGCAGUUUUGAUUUGCAUUUCUCUAAUAAUUAGUAAUGUUGAGCUUUUUUUCAUGUGCCUGUUGGCCAUCCAGAUGUCUUCUUUGGAGAAAUGUCUAUUUAGGUCUUCUGCCCAUUUUUCGAUUGAGUCGUUUGUCUGUUUUGUGUUGAGUGUGUGAGCUGUUUGUAUAUUUUGGAGAUUAAGCCCUGGUCAGUAGCAUCAUUUUAAGGAGCAGCUUGUGAACAAUAGAUUUGGAGGGUAGAGGGCACCCUCCAGGUUGGUUCUUGAGGAUCCCCACCUGCUAGCAUCUUGAGGAUGCCCUCCCCUUGAGUGGGGGUGGGGCUCAGUGACACGUGCAGUGAACAGAAGCUCAUUUCAGAGAUUCAGUUAUGAAGCGUCUGGCUUCUCCUUGCUCACUUUCCCUCCCUCUCUCUCUUGGUCACUCCUUUCAAUGACAUCAGCUGCCAGGCUGUAAGUGGCUCUAAGAAGAGGUCCAUGUGAUGAGGACCGGAGGAGAGCCCCUGGCCCAUAGCCCUCAAGAAAACGAGUCCUGCCAAGAGCCACAUGAGUGACCUUGAAAGAGCACCUGCCCCCAGUGGAGCCUUCAGAUGAGACCACAGCCCCAGCUGGCAUCUUGAUUCCAGCCUGUGACAGAUCCCGAGCCAGACAACCCAUCUAAGCCAUGCCCAGAUUCUGGACCCAGAGAGACUAUGAAUUCCUAAAUGUGUGUGAGUUUAUGCCUCUGGGUUUGGGAAUAAUUUGGUACCCAGCAAUAGAUAACAAAUACAAAGAUCAAACAUAGGUUAGAGUAACAUCAAAGGCCUGGUUUGUUGGCUUCUCUCUGUGUGUUUUUUAAAUCACAGAAGUAAUAUUACAUUCAUAUCAAUACAGUCUUCUGUAUUAAUUCUUUGUUUAGAAUUCACACCAAAAAAUGUAUAAAACUAAAAUCAGAAGCUCCUCUUCACCCUUCUCCCUCCUCCUCACCAUCUACUUCCUUCACGGAGGAACCACGGCUAACAGUUUCUGUAUCCUACCUGAGCUUUCCUGUCUAUUUACAUACGAGUACAUAAUUUUAGUACAUCAUAAAUGGGUCUAUAAUAUCUAUCAUAUCUCUUAUAUAGAUAUUAAUACAUAACUAUAAUGUCAUGAGUCUCCCAUACGUACUUCGCUGUGAUUUGCUUUCUUCACUUGAUAGUAUAUCCUGGACCACUUUCCACGCUGCUACAUAGAGCUCUCCCUCAUUCUUUGCAAGUUCACCUCCAUGAGUUUUCCACCCAUCCCUCAGCACUCUGCCAAGCUAGUUCAGCAUCUUCUGAUUUUCCUCCAAGCCUCGAGGAGCCAUUCCAGCAGCUUAGGAGGAGAGUUUCUGGGUGUCCUUGCCAGGGUGUUAAGUCCUGAGUCUUGGGAGUUGCCCCAUGUGAAAAAUUCCCCCUUAUUCAGCAUGGCAUUGCACUCUCCUGGCCCAGCACCCUCCUGGUCUGUUCCUGGAUGUGUUCUCCUGGGUUUAUCUGGUGCCUGUUAACCAGAUGCUGCAGCACCUGGUGAGUCCCCACCCCCGCCCCCCACCCCACAGGCAGGUCAGCACUUACCCAGCCAACCCCUGAGCCCCCGCCUUUGUUAGUGGCCUAGAAGCCACAAGGGGAGAUGGGCUGUACUGACAAGGGAAAGCCUUGUCUCCCUAGGCAUUUGAAUCAGGAGCGGCCCCUUUGUGGUCUCGGGGCAAGGGGAGGCAAGGGGGAGGGUACGCUGGCCGGGAUGCUUCAGGGCCUCAUCCAGGAUGAAGGGCUGGGUCUCUGAGUCUCAUUCCUUCCUUCUCAUGGCUCUGACUUUAACACAAGAGACUUGCUGGGGCCAGGAAUCUGUAUCGUCCGUGAGUCUGCUUAUCCACCGCCAAAUUCUUGGCCCAAUUCUCAGCACACUGUACCCCUGGCUUCGGGGCUGAGGAUAGAUAACACUAACCUGAAGGACACCGGGCUUUUCCACCAGGCUCUGGGCUGCAGGUGGCCGGCCUGAGCCUGACACUUUCCUCCGUCCAGGUUUGAUGGCCACAAAGCUGGGGACACAAUGAAUUCUGGCCCUUCUGCCCAUCCACAUACACCUCUCUCCUGUAGGGUGAGGAUUUGCUGGUCUCCUCGGAGUCUGGCCUUCUCUGGGUUUCACUAGCAGGCAGUCAUUCUCUUGAAAGGUGGUACAUGUCACAAGCACACACACUCCACCUGCAGCCAGGUGGGUUGGCGAGCCAGUCAUCCUGUCCUCAAGCCUGCUGAGUGAGUGCAUCACUAUCUGCUCCCUGGUCUCUGCCACUCUAGGUUUAAGGGCGUGCACUGUAGGAAUUCUAUUCCGGGCCUCAAUCCCAUGCAUCAGCGCAUCCUUCCCAAGGAGCUCUGUACUAGGGGGUCUAAGGUGCUUGCCCAGACGCCAAGAAGAUCAAUACUCAUUUCUCAGUUGGCAAUCAGAGUCCUUGCCAAUGCGUUCUCCCAGGAAUGGUGUCUUCGGCAGGAACCUGAGGUAGUGAGUGGUAGGAUUCAGACCCAACACCUCUCUCACAUUCUGCAAGUCCACUAUGAGCAUCAGGGGUAAUGCUCAAUGCAUGGCCAUCACUGCAGCAAGGACCUCUGUUACUGCUGUCUCUUCCACUCUUCCAGAGGUAUUUGUGGAAUUUAAUGGAUAAGUGACAAUUGCGGCCACAAGAGUGUUUCCUGAUUUGGAGCUUGUUGGGGCCAUUUAAUUAAUUUGCAGGGCUAGAGGAGGAGGAAGGGACAUUAGGCUUUGCCUUGCAUCAAGAGGGAAGGGGGAAGUUCCCAUUCUCAGUGAUAAUGAACCUGACUAGCAGCCAUGAGGAUGUGGGUUUCUGGCCUCGUUCAGUGGGUUAAGGAUCCAGCGUUGCCAUGAGCUAUGGUGUAGGCACAGAAGUGGCUCGGAUCAGCCCGCGGAUUGCUGGCAUAUUCCCUACUUUAGUGAAGGGAUUGCCAGCUUGGGGUGGGGGGUGAUUUCUCUGUGCACAGGGUACCCAGACAUUUGCCAAAAGCAUUCCGGGGUGUCAUGGAGGGUGUUUAUAGAUAAGCCUCACUUGGAAUUUGUAGACUGAGUAAAGCAGAUUGCCCUUCCCAUGUGGGUGGGCCUCGCCCAAUAAGCUGAAGUCCUGAUUAGAGCAAAACAGCCGAGUAAGAGAACUUCUCCUGCUUGACUGCCUCCAAGCCGGGACAGUGACGUGUUCUUUCUUGCCAUCACACUGCAAUUGAAACCUCAGCUUUUCCUGGCUCUUGGGCCUACCCGCCUUCAGACGAGAGCCACACUGUCAGCUUUCCUGGGUCCCCAGCUGAUUAGCUGCCUAUCUUAGGACUUGUCAGUCUCCAUAAUCCUGUGAGCCGAUUCCUCAAAUACCUGCAUAAAUAUGUAUAUAAUGCACAUGUACCCCAUACACGCACACACGCAAUCUCUCUUGUUUCUGUUUCUCUGGAGAACCUCAUUAAUACGAACCCCAUUCGCAUGGGGAGAAACUGACACCUAGAAAAGGAGUCCCCAGACCCAGGUGUCCUGACCCGCUUGCCAGUUGGACUUGCUUCCCUGGCCGUUUAUUCCAGAGUGAACUCAGAACAACAGGUGUUCUGGCCUCUGGUCCAAUACUUAUGAAGGGGUCCCAAGUGAGCCAAAUCUUGGCACCUGAAUUUCCUUCUCUUCAACAUGAAGGUGAAAAUCUUUCCUGCCUCAGAGAUGUAGCCAGGACUGGUCACAGGGCUCAUCCCUGAAAUGACCUUCGGUCACACGUAGGAACUCAAAGAAAUGUUAGCUUUCAUUGGCGUUCCCAUAGUGGCUCAGCAGUAAUGAACCUGAUUAGUAUCCAUGAAGAUAUGGGUUCAAUCCCCAGCCUCGCUCAGUGAGCUAAGGAUCCGGCAUUGCCAUGAGCUGUGGUGUUACAGAUGCGGCUCGGAUCCCGCGUGGCUGUGGCUGUGGUGUAGGCCAGCAGCUGCAUCUCCCAAUUUGACCCCCAGCCUGGAAACUUUCAUAUGCCAUGGGUGUGGCCCUAAAAAGAAAAAAACAGUUAGGCUUUAUUUAAGGAUUGAUUUAAGGACUGAUGUAAAUUACCACAGAGAACUUCAAAAAUACUACCAGGAACCAUGUUUUUAAUCUGUCGGACCUUCUAACCCACCAGUACAACUAGUCUCACUGCCCCCCACCCCCCCCCCCACCAAAUCCAUACAAUUUCCUGAAAGUUUCAAGGCUGGCGAUUCCCUUGCUCAGAGCAUCAAUGGUCAGCCAUGAAAACCCAUGGAGCAUCAGUGGUCAUCCCAACUCUUCCACCCACGUCAGUGGCCUGGAACCUGAUCAUAUGAUUUGCUAGCAAGGACCAUACAGUAGGAGAGGCUGGGCAAAAGCAUCUGUUUAAUCCCUGCUCUCCAAGGGGUUGUUCUUCUACUCCAGCCCCUUCAGUCCAAGAAUAAAUCACAAGCUGCCAUAAUCAGCUUCCGUUCAUCAAGAGACUCAGCCGGCAACAGGUGCCAGCUCCAAGUCCAGCCUCUCUGCUGUCCUGCAGUCUCUCACAUCUGGGAAUCAGCAGGUCAGUUUGAAUUGUUCUUGAGGUUGUUCCUGGUAGCAAACCACCUCCCUCCCACCCUCGGAGUCCAAACGUCUUUAGAUUUGCCUCCAUUAAAGUCCCAAAGGGGGGUCGUGGCUCAGCAAUAACGAACCCGACUAAUACCCAUGAGGAUGGCAGGUUCAAUCCCUGGCCUCGCUCAGUGGGUUAAGCAUCUGGCGUUGCUGUGGCUGUGGUAUAGGCUGGCAGCUGAAGCUCAGAUUCAACCCCUAGCCUGGGAAUUUCCAUAUGCUGCAGGUACAGCCCUGAAAAAG